GCCCCAGUAGCUCAGAAGGAUAGAGUAGCGGUUUCCUAAACCGUUGGUCGGAGGUUCGAAUCCUCUCUGGGGUA
rnacentral:tRNA from 1 species